GAUGAAGAACGUAGCGAAAUGCGAUACUUGGUGUGAAUUGCAGAAUCCCGUGAACCAUCGAGUCUUUGAACGCAAGUUGCGCCCGAAGCCAUUAGGCCGAGGGCACGCCUGCCUGGGCGUCACACGUCGUUGCCCCCCCCAUCUACUCCUUCGGGAUUGCGGGGGGCGGAUGAUGGCCUCCCGUGCGCCUCGCCGCGCGGUUGGCAUAAAUGCCAAGUCCUCGGCGACGCACGCCACGACAAUCGGUGGUUGCGAAACCUCGGUUGCCCGUCGUGUGCGGUCGUCGCGCAUCGAGGGCUCGAAAAAAUUGCCGAGUUCCGGCUCGGCUUUCAACGCGACCCCAGGUCAGGCGGGGUUACCCGCUGAAUUUAAGCAUAUCAAAGCGGAGGA
rnacentral:misc_RNA from 1 species